rnacentral:rRNA from 1 species
GUGGGGAAUAUUGGACAAUGGGCGCAAGCCUGAUCCAGCCAUGCCGCGUGAGUGAUGAAGGCCCUAGGGUUGUAAAGCUCUUUCACCGAUGAAGAUAAUGACGGUAGUCGGAGAAGAAGCCCCGGCUAACUUCGUGCCAGCAGCCGCGGUAAUACGAAGGGGGCUAGCGUUGUUCGGAAUUACUGGGCGUAAAGCGCACGUAGGCGGAUAUUUAAGUCAGGGGUGAAAUCCCAGAGCUCAACUCUGGAACUGCCUUUGAUACUGGGUAUCUCGAGUAUGGAAGAGGUGAGUGGAAUUCCGAGUGUAGAGGUGAAAUUCGUAGAUAUUCGGAGGAACACCAGUGGCGAAGGCGGCUCACUGGCUCGAUACUGACGCUGAGGUGCGAAAGCGUGGGGAGCAAACAGGAUUAGAAACCCGGGUAGUCC